rnacentral:rRNA from 1 species
UACGUAGGGGGCAAGCGUUAUCCGGAUUUACUGGGUGUAAAGGGAGCGUAGGUGGCUAGGUAAGUCAGAUGUGAAAGCCCGGGGCUCAACCCCGGGAUUGCAUUUGAAACUAUUUAGCUAGAGUGCAGGAGAGGUAAGUGGAAUUCCUAGUGUAGCGGUGAAAUGCGUAGAUAUUAGGAGGAACACCAGUGGCGAAGGCGGCUUACUGGACUGUAACUGACACUGAGGCUCGAAAGCGUGGGGAGCAAACAGG